GCCAUAGCUCAGUGAUAGAGCAUCUGCAUUGCAUGCAGAAGGUCCCCAGCUUCAAUCUCCAGGUAAGUCUGGGAGAGAUGCC